rnacentral:rRNA from 1 species
GACGAACGCUGGCGGCGUGCCUAAUACAUGCAAGUCGAGCGGGGUUAUUGCGGUGGAUUCCUUCGGGAUGAAAGUGUAAUAACCUAGCGGCGGACGGGUGAGUAACGCGUGGGUAAUCUGCCCUAGAGACCGGGAUAACAGCGGGAAACCGCUGCUAAUACCGGAUGCCUUUCAAGGGGGGCAUCUUCCUUGAAAGAAAGCUACGGCGCUCUAGGAUGAGCCCGCGUCCCAUUAGCUAGUUGGUGAGGUAACGGCUCACCAAGGCGGCGAUGGGUAGCCGGCCUGAGAGGGUGUACGGCCACACUGGGACUGAGACACGGCCCAGACUCCUACGGGAGGCAGCAGUAGGGAAUAUUGCGCAAUGGGGGGAACCCUGACGCAGCGACGCCGCGUGAGCGAAGAAGGCCUUCGGGUCGUAAAGCUCUGUCCUCAGGGAAGAAGAAAGUGACGGUAC